CAGUUCAGAUACCCCAGGAAAUUUCUCUGGAGAGAAGCCAAGGGAAGGAAUCAACAUGGUUUAUAAACUUUCAAAAUACAUAAGCCUCUGUGUGUUCUCCAGGGUCUGUGACUUUGGAGCUGUUUCCUCAUCGUGCAAAUCUUCAAGUUCUAAUUCUCCAGACCACUUAGAGGGAAUUGGAGUGAUGCUGGACAUUUCUCAGUGUGGUUUCCCUUUCAGAUGGGGCAGAUUCAGAGGAAUGGAUAUAUAUUGGAAGUUCAGAUUAAUAUAUUUCCCUCUACCUAGUCACGUGAACUGUUUAAUCUUGGAAGACAAAUAAAUACUGGAAACUCAGGGACAAGUUUUUCAUAUUUUUCAUCCUGGGCAGCUUUCCUGGAUGGUUGGACCUGGAAGCUGAUUAGAGACUUGGUCUGCCUCCCUGACUAUCACCCAGGGUAGAGAAUAGCCUUCCUCCUUGAUCUCAGGAGAUUCUCUCCUCUGUGUUCUAAUGCUGGUGAAUGUGGGGCAAUAUUUACCUCUGCAGAUGAGCAGAUACAGGGCUUAUAUGGCUCUGGUUGGGCAAGCAUGAAUGUAAACCUGGGCAACUAAGUCUAGAUUUUCAGCAGCAUUGCCAAUGAUGUAAUGCACCACCAGUAUCUGCAGGAUGUGCUUAUCAGGGGUUUCUGUCUUUUCUAGAGGUUUUUCUGUCAAAAUAAUUAUUUAUGGAAUGUCAUCCAAGAAAAUAAACCAGUUUUCUGUUGUUCAGAGAGGCCAGAGGCAAGUGCUUCUCUCGUCAGCAAUGAAUGAAAAGGUACCCUGGGACUCUGGUGUAGGUCACCAAGUCUGUCAAUAAAAUAGAGUAAAAUGGAA